AGCAAGUCGAGCGGACAGAAGGGAGCUUGCUCCCGGAUGUUAGCGGCGGACGGGUGAGUAACACGUGGGUAACCUGCCUGUAAGACUGGGAUAACUCCGGGAAACCGGAGCUAAUACCGGAUAGUUCCUUGAACCGCAUGGUUCAAGGAUGAAAGACGGUUUCGGCUGUCACUUACAGAUGGACCCGCGGCGCAUUAGCUAGUUGGUGGGGUAAUGGCUCACCAAGGCGACGAUGCGUAGCCGACCUGAGAGGGUGAUCGGCCACACUGGGACUGAGACACGGCCCAGACUCCUACGGGAGGCAGCAGUAGGGAAUCUUCCGCAAUGGACGAAAGUCUGACGGAGCAACGCCGCGUGAGUGAUGAAGGUUUUCGGAUCGUAAAGCUCUGUUGUUAGGGAAGAACAAGUGCGAGAGUAACUGCUCGCACCUUGACGGUACCUAACCAGAAAGCCACGGCUAACUACGUGCCAGCAGCCGCGGUAAUACGUAGGUGGCAAGCGUUGUCCGGAAUUAUUGGGCGUAAAGGGCUCGCAGGCGGUUUCUUAAGUCUGAUGUGAAAGCCCCCGGCUCAACCGGGGAGGGUCAUUGGAAACUGGGAAACUUGAGUGCAGAAGAGGAGAGUGGAAUUCCACGUGUAGCGGUGAAAUGCGUAGAGAUGUGGAGGAACACCAGUGGCGAAGGCGACUCUCUGGUCUGUAACUGACGCUGAGGAGCGAAAGCGUGGGGAGCGAACAGGAUUAGAUAC
rnacentral:rRNA from 1 species